GUGCUCACUUGGACAGCACAUACACUAAAAUUAGAAAGAUAUAUAGAAGAUUAGCACAGCCCCUGUUUAGGAAUGAGAAGCAAAUUUGAAAAUCAGUGUGAAGAUUC
rnacentral:snRNA from 1 species